UGUCAUCUGGGAUCCAUAACUUAAAACGACUGAUUGUUUUUAGAUUAAAGAAUCAACAAGAACAUCUUUGAAAUCAGUAGAGAAAUUCAGUUUCACAGAGAUUACCGAUCAGACUUUGAGAAGCGGAAUACUGACGGAAAUUUAAGAGAUUUAUUAAUUCAUAUCAUUUUGGUAUCAAUAGAAAGCUCAACAGCUUGGAUUCGGCUUGGAUCUCUAGUAAAUAUAUCAGAAGUCACAGGAGCAACCCGGAACCCCAUAGAACACCAGAUAAAACAACACAUAGAGAAACAAGAACAAUGAUCAGGCUGUUUUUAGCAACCCUAACUGCGCACGUUCUGGUGACGUCACAUGCAAUGCCAUCUGUGUAUGUCCCAACGUCCCUUUUACCUGAAGACUACAUUGAACUCGACCGUUUACCUAAUCAAAACAGUGACCUCGAUCUAAAAGUGAAUUUGAAUUUAUACAAAGCAAUGCUUCUAACGAAGCUUUCAAAAGAACUCCCUUUCGAGAAUCUAGAAGCUAGUCCGCCUACAGAAGUUUCGGGUGAGCAAAACGAAAAAUCUCAAAUUGUGUCGAUUGGAAAGAGGUCCAACCUAUCAAUUAAUCAGGAAUUAAAAACUCUAGCACGCAUGCUCGUUUCCAGGAACAACAGACGUCGUAGAGAUAGGAUGUUUGAAGUACGAUCCCGACUCCGAUCUUUAGGAAAACGCAGUGUCCGAGAUACUAAUGAUAACGAAACCUGGGAAUUUAUGACGUCACAUCCAUAGAGAUUGGAGUCAUUCUAUCGACCAACUGGCCAAGUUAUACAUUGGAGUAGUUAUUAUGUGACCCCAGAAGCUGGAAGCAGAUUUUGUUUUCGUUUUAAAUAGUAGCGGAACUGAUACAUGCAUACCGGAAAUUCUAAAUCUCACGUGUAAUUAGGUUUAUUGUGAUAACAAAAUUGGA